GUCGUGUUCUUAUUGUUGAUAUAUUGUUCAUUGUAUUUUGUUUUGGAUCUGAAAGUCACUACUAAAUCGAUUAAUCGGACUGCCUACAAAUAGGUGUUAGAGGGUAGAUUAGGCGGCCUUAGUCCAUAUUGGUCAAAACCGACAAUAAUCAGACCAAGUCGGUCCAACUAACUCUAAAAGACCCACCAACUCAAAGGAACGAGCUUGCCUAAAAUAUAACUGUGUUUCUUUUAGACUGAAGGAUUCCCUUUUAUAAACUAUUUUUCCUUGAUAAAAUGUUCCCAGCUUCGAUGUGGGAUACUCAAACUUUCACUCUUCCAUGUGUUCUCCCAUGCUCGACUCCGACUCCCCCGUGCUCGUUCUUCACCAUCGUCUUCUGCCACGAGCUUCUCUCUUUCAACAAGUUGUUCCGAUGGUGCUAUUCCCCGAGCUUCUCCAGCCUUCCAGUUUCGUUUCUCUCUGAUCGAUCAUAUACCAAUAAGUUGUUUACAUAAUUUGAUUCUCGAUUUUGAGAUAAUAGGAAGCGUGCAUUGAUUGAUCUAUUGCAGGUUCUUAACAUUAGUUAUAUACCAAUAAUUUGUUCCGGUGCCAUAUGCUCGAUUGCAGAUAGUUGGGAGUGUCGAUUGUUUACAUAAUUCGAUUUUGGAUUGGAUAGGUUUGCAUCGAUUGGUCCUUCUGUCCCUCCUUCACCGGAUUCACAGAGGAUUAAGCUUCAUUCUUCUCUAUCCUCACUCUAGUUUCUCUUGUCAAUUCCGUGAUGUGGUUGAUAUGGUUGUUUGAUAACUAGCAUGCCAAGUGUUUGUGUAAAUGCUUAAGAGAAAUUUCAGUGAUUUUGAGCAAAUAAUGCUUUGCCUGAGUGAAUUUGCUAAAAUGACAGAGUGAAGGGUAUUUGGAUUCGGGUAAUUUCUUGAUAGAAAUUUUGGUCCCUUGAUCAUCUUAGAAGUUAUCAAAAACCAUGGAUUGAAGAUGUAGGUGGUUUGGUAGUCUGAUUAUUGGUUGUUUGUGGUGAAACAAUGGUGGAGUAGCUGAGGGUGUGAUGGUGUUGAACAUAUGCAAACAAGAAGGUUGUCAAUGGUGGUGUUUGGUGGUUGGAGCAAAAACAGAUGGAGCAGGUGGUGGUAUUUGGCUAUUCUUAUAAGGGGUAGAAAGGAGGUGGUGGUUUAAGGUUGUUACAGCUCUCAAUUUGGUGGCUUGAAUGAACUUGUUGUGAAAACAUGAUUUUGAAGAAAUGAUGAAGAACAUUCAAGAACAAAUGAAGAAUAUUUGUAAUUCUUGGCUGAUAUGGUUGUUUAAUACAAAUCAUCAAUGAACUAAUAUAUUUGUUAACUUGUUUACUUAUAUUAUUAGGACUAAUGUUAUAUUUAUUAAACUUUUAA